GUACCGCGGCUGCUGGCACGAAAUUAGCCGGUGCUUCUUCUGCAGGUAACGUCAAGUACUCCAGGGUAUUAUCCCGAAGCCUUCCUCCCUGCUGAAAGUGCUUUACAACCCUAGGGCCUUCUUCACACACGCGGCAUGGCUGGAUCAGGCUUGCGCCCAUUGUCCAAGAUUCCCCACUGCUGCCUCCCGUAGGAGUCCGGACCGUGUCUCAGUUCCGGUGUGACUGAUCAUCCUCUCAGACCAGUUACAGAUCGUCGCCUUGGUGAGCCUUUACCUCACCAACAAGCUAAUCUGACGUGGGCCGAUCCAUUAGCGCGAGGUCCGAAGAUCCCCCGCUUUCCCCCGUAGGGCUUAUGCGGUAUUAGCCUGAGUUUCCCCAGGUUAUCCCCCACUAAUGGGCACGUUCCCACGCGUUACUCACCCGUCCGCCGCUCGCCACCAGGUGCAAGCACCCGUGCUGCCGCUCGACUUGCAUGUGUUAGGCCUGCCGCCAGCGUUCAAUCUGAGCCAUGAUCAAACUC
rnacentral:rRNA from 1 species